rnacentral:rRNA from 1 species
UACGGAGGGGGCUAGCGUUGUUCGGAAUUACUGGGCGUAAAGCGCACGUAGGCGGCUUUGUAAGUUAGAGGUGAAAGCCCGGAGCUCAACUCCGGAAUUGCCUUUAAGACUGCAUCGCUCGAAUCAUGGAGAGGUGAGUGGAAUUCCGAGUGUAGAGGUGAAAUUCGUAGAUAUUCGGAAGAACACCAGUGGCGAAAGCGGCUCUCUGGGGGCAACCUGACGCUGAGGCGCGAAAGCGUGGGGAGCGAACCGG